rnacentral:rRNA from 1 species
GACGAACGCUAGCGGCGUGCUUAACACAUGCAAGUCGAACGCUGAAGCUCAGCUUGCUGGGUGGAUGAGUGGCGAACGGGUGAGUAACACGUGAGUAACCUGCCCUCUUCUUUGGGAUAACGCCCGGAAACGGGUGCUAAUACUGGAUAUUCACUGAUUCUCGCAUGGGGGUUGGUGGAAAGGUUUUUUCUGGUGGGGGAUGGGCUCGCGGCCUAUCAGCUUGUUGGUGGGGUGAUGGCCUACCAAGGCUUUGACGGGUAGCCGGCCUGAGAGGGUGACCGGUCACAUUGGGACUGAGAUACGGCCCAGACUCCUACGGGAGGCAGCAGUGGGGAAUAUUGCACAAUGGGCGAAAGCCUGAUGCAGCGACGCCGCGUGAGGGAUGGAGGCCUUCGGGUUGUAAACCUCUUUCGCUCAUGGUCAAGCCGCAGCUUUGGGUUGUGGUGAGGGUAGUGGGUAAAGAAGCGCCGGCUAACUACGUG